UACGGAGGGUGCAAGCGUUGUCCGGAUUCACUGGGUUUAAAGGGUGCGUAGGUGGUUUGGUAAGUCAGGGGUGAAAUCUCCAAGCUUAACUUGGAAACUGCCGUUGAUACUAUCAUUCUUGAAUAUCGUGGAGGUAAGCGGAAUAUGUCAUGCAGCGGUGAAUUGCUUAGAUAUGACAUAGAACACCGAUUGCGAAGGCAGCUUGCUACACGAUCAUUGACACUGAGGCACGAAAGCGUGGGGAUCAAACAGG
rnacentral:rRNA from 1 species